rnacentral:misc_RNA from 1 species
AAUAAUAAUCAUGAGCACCUGUUGUAAUUUGUUACCAGUGAAGCACUACAGCCACCAUAUCGAAGUCUUGUAGGCUGUAGCUACUCUGCUUUAUGUCCAGUAAAAGUUGCAGUAACCCUAAAAAUCAACAGGUAAACUAGUCAAGAAAGCUAAUGUAAGAGGAGACGUGGACUUCCCGAACAAAGAACACCACUGAGGAAGCUUCCCAAGUACUGUUUCAGUUGGGGAAGUUAUUCUAUCAACAUCUGUCCGUAGUUUUAGCAAAGGUUGCUUUGUGUUGCUAUCCUUCCUGUGAGUUUGAUUGUUGGCCCAGAAAAGAGUCAGACUGAAUUUCCUUGGUGCCUUGUUCCCUCCUGAAAACUGAAUUAUGUGCCAUGAGUCUGCAUUGCUCUUGUCACCAAUUGGAACCAACUCCUCAGGACCGUCUUUCAACUGGAAAUCCUCGACUUCAUCAGUGUUGAUACCCAGAGUCCAGCGUGUGGAAAGUUUAGUGUCAAUGGAUACAUGAGUUACUCUAUUGUCACCGUUGAUAUCAUUCUCAACAUGAAUCAGAGGAAUAUCUGUCUCAUGCCAGCCAAUAUUAGCAUUUUUGUCACUCCAACAACCAUACUUGACCGAAAAUGUUACAAAAUCAAGAGGCUUAACAGUGCCGCAAGUAAAUCCUUCUCCAAUCUGUUCAACUUCCUUAACUAGAUUUCCUGGAGUAGUUGAAAAUAAAGAAAUGUAAGAGGCUCGCUCUUGCUUUUUGCCAUUGGCUCCUGCCAUAUCUACAACAUGCACAACAUUUACAGCUCUGGCAGUAUCUUCAGUAAAUGGUGGAACAACACCUAGUUGAAUCACGGUGAGCGAGAUGCCAAACAGAAGACAGGUCGUUAUGAUAAGUGGCACCUUUGCACCUGAAAUAUGAAUAUAUGACAAAAGAUACACCAGCGUCAAACAUGCUAUGGCAGCAAUAAACAUUGCAACUAUUACAUUGCCCAGCCACUCAGGGUUGCUGCCAGGACUCCUUUCUAGUCGAACUGAACUGCCAAUUAGUGUAGAAACCGAAUGAAUAAUUAUGCCAGAAGAAAGCAAGCAAGGCACAGAUGAUCCAAUCAGCAAGGUGACCGUUUUGAGUGGUUUUGGCAGCCGUGCUGGUGACAAAGUUGCUUCAAGCAAUCCAUAUGCAAAUGCAGGAGAGGCUAGCCAAGCAAGAGCCAAAUAAGAUGAUCCUAUUUUGUAAAAGUUCCCCACAAUCAAAAGA